rnacentral:rRNA from 1 species
CGCGGUAAUUCCAGCUCCAAUAGCGUAUACUAAAGUGUUGCAGUUAAAAAGCUCGUAGUUGGAUUUCUGGCGGGGACGGCUGGUCGGUCUCGAAAGGGGCUGUACUGUUGUUGGUUCCCGUCAUCCUUGGGGAGAGCGGCUCUUACAUUAAGUUGUCGGCGUCGGGAUCCCUAUCUUUUACUGUGAAAAAAUUAGAGUGUUCAAAGCAGGCUUAGGCCCUGAAUACAUUAGCAUGGAAUAAUAAGAUACGACCUUGGUGGUCUAUUUUGUUGGUUUGCACGCCAAGGUAAUGAUUAAUAGGGAUAGUUGGGGGUAUUCGUAUUCAAUUGUCAGAGGUGAAAUUCUUGGAUUUAUGGAAGACGAACUACUGCGAAAGCAUUUACCAAGGAUGUUUUCAUUAAUCAAGAACGAAAGUUAGGGGAUCGAAGAUGAUUAGAUACCAUCGUAGUCUUAACCAUAAACUAUGCCGACUAGGGAUCGGUGGGUGCAUUUUUAGGCCUCAUCGGCGCCUUAUGAGAAAUCAAAGUCUUUGGGUUCCGGGGGGAGUAUGGUCGCAAGGCUGAAACUUAAAGAAAUUGACGG